rnacentral:rRNA from 1 species
UACGAAGGGGGCUAGCGUUGUUCGGAUUUACUGGGCGUAAAGCGCACGUAGGCGGAUUGUUAAGUCAGGGGUGAAAUCCUGGAGCUCAACUCCAGAACUGCCUUUGAUACUGGCAAUCUUGAGUCCGGAAGAGGUGAGUGGAACUCCUAGUGUAGAGGUGGAAUUCGUAGAUAUUAGGAAGAACACCAGUGGCGAAGGCGGCUCACUGGCCCGGUACUGACGCUGAGGUGCGAAAGCGUGGGGAGCAAACAGG